rnacentral:rRNA from 1 species
GAGCGCCGUAGCAAUACGGAGCGGCAGACGGGAGAGUAACACGUGGGAACGUGCCCUUUGGUUCGGAACAACCCAGGGAAACUUGGGCUAAUACCGGAUAAGCCCUUACGGGGAAAGAUUUAUCGCCGAAAGAUCGGCCCGCGUCUGAUUAGCUAGUUGGUGAGGUAAUGGCUCACCAAGGCGACGAUCAGUAGCUGGUCUGAGAGGAUGAUCAGCCACAUUGGGACUGAGACACGGCCCAAACUCCUACGGGAGGCAGCAGUGGGGAAUAUUGGACAAUGGGCGCAAGCCUGAUCCAGCCAUGCCGCGUGAGUGAUGAAGGCCCUAGGGUUGUAAAGCUCUUUUGUGCGGGAAGAUAAUGACGGUACCGCAAGAAUAAGCCCCGGCUAACUUCGUG